rnacentral:lncRNA from 1 species
AUCUCUCUUAAUUGAAGAAAAUAGGGGCUUGCAGCCAACAAAUAUGUCUACCCCUUCGAAUUGCUCUUCAUUGGCUAUUGCGAUCAGGAAAUGUCUUCGAUUAGCUCUUCAUUGACUAUUGUCGUAGCUGAACAAUGCUCUUUUUCUUAACCUAUUGGAUCCGACCCCAUGUUUCUUUAGAGAACAUAACAUAAUUACAAUAACAUCAGCAUGAAAUUUACAACCAGGCAAACACCUCAUUUCUUCAUAGCAAGCAACAUGAAGUUCAUCUUUCGCAGGAAAAGUGCAUAAGACAUCCAUAUUUCCACUGACUACAAAGUGAACAAAUUCAAACAAACUUGACUCGGUUAGUAGCAUGUUGCACAUGUUAUAUUCAUAAAAAUUCUAUCUUCAUUUGAUCACGAACUACACAAAAAAUCACAUAGAGUAGCUUCCAAAUAUGACAUAGAAGCUGCAGCUGCGUACCAACUGAAUAUUGAAGGAGAUUUAUCCUUCUUUACUGUUUAUUUUUGGCACGACAAUCCAAAAUUUUAGAUGUAGAAAGUUGGAUGUUGGUUUUACUACCAUUUUUAUACUUUAACCACCAUUAAUGCAAACCAAAAUGUGUAUCUUUCAAUAAUCAAAAACAACAAGAGCCAGUGUGCAUCUAUUCUUUCACCCACAGAAAUAAGGUCUCAGUUUACAACUAUUUUCGAUGCAUCAAGAUUCAAAAGUUAAAGUAAACUACAGGGCUAAUAUAACCAUUCCAUACACUAAGAAUAGACCACGAAAGACAUAGAAGCACAGAAGCACAACGAGGGAAACUGCUUACAUUUAAAUCAUCACAAUAAGCUCUUGAGAUUUCUUAUGGCCACCAUAAGUUUUUGAAGUGGCAGAUCAGCCCAACGGAAGUGGACAGUGUGUGUCGGCCCCAGAGCCAAGCAGCCUGCCUCGCUGGCUAGUGCUAUUGCCGCUCUCGUCCUCUCAUCGACGAAGGCGACGACACUCAUAGUAGUCCAGUACUUAUAGUGAAAGCAAGUGGUAUUCUAAACAGUAUACUGAAAUCUGAAUUUAGUGGGUGGCAUGUAUGUAUAGACAACCUAGCUACUCCAGCUUCAAAAGAAUCAAAGUUCCAACUCUAGAACACAGAUGACCAUUACAGACCACUUUUCAGUACCACCAUUCUGGCCUUACAAUCGCAUGGCAACCAAAUUGGUACUCCUGGUUUUUUCAAAGCAACUACUCUACGGACCCUUCAUAGACACAACUCAAAUAACCGGGUGGGCCAACGUUAGAAAAAAUUACCAUUAUCUAUUUCUAAAAGAUAGAUGAGCAGUAUACCUAAUUAUUUUAGUCAGCCAACAAUUUUGUACCAGAUGCAAUCUUCAAGUAUAUACUGGGGCCAACUUAUUUUGUUGAUACUAAGAAAUGUAAAAAGAAGCUAGAGUAGCAAAGGUAUAGAGGUUGUAC